rnacentral:rRNA from 1 species
CAGCAGCCGCGGUAAUACCGGCCCCGCGAGUGGUCGGGGUGAUUAUUGGGCCUAAAGCGUCCGUAGCCGGGUUGGGAAGUCCUCCGGGAAAUCUGGCCGCUUAACGGUCAGAAUGCCGGAGGAUACUCCCAGCCUAGGGAGCGGGAGAGGCCGAGGGUAUUCCCGGAGUAGGGGUGAAAUCCUAUAAUCCCGGGAGGACCACCUGUGGCGAAGGCGCUCGGCUGGAACGCGUCCGACGGUGAGGGACGAAGGCCAGGGGAGCAAACCGGAUUAGAUACCCGGGUAGUCCUGGCUGUAAACGAUGCGGACUUUGUGUCGGACAAGCUAUGAGCUUGUCCGGUGCCGGAGGGAAACCGUUAAGUCCGCCGCCUGGGGAGUACGGCCGCAAGGCUGAAACUUAAAGGAAUUGGCGGG